AGCGAACGCUGGCGGCAGGCCUAACACAUGCAAGUCGAACGGAUCCUUCGGGAUUAGUGGCGGACGGGUGAGUAACACGUGGGAACGUGCCCUUUGGUUCGGAACAACUCAGGGAAACUUGAGCUAAUACCGGAUGUGCCCUUCGGGGGAAAGAUUUAUCGCCAUUGGAGCGGCCCGCGUCUGAUUGGCUAGUUGGUGAGGUAAAGACUCACCAAGGCGACGAUCAGUAGCUGGUCUGAGAGGAUGAUCAGCCACAUUGGGACUGAGACACGGCCCAAACUCCUACGGGAGGCAGCAGUGGGGAAUCUUGCGCAAUGGGCGAAAGCCUGACGCAGCCAUGCCGCGUGAAUGACGAAGGUCUUAGGAUUGUAAAAUUCUUUCACCGGGGACGAUAAUGACGGUACCCGGAGAAGAAGCCCCGGCUAACUUCGUGCCAGCCGCCGCGGUAA
rnacentral:rRNA from 1 species